rnacentral:sRNA from 1 species
GAAGGCUCUGCAGGGAAGGAACUGGCUCUGGGUGUUUUCCCUGCGUUUCUCUUCUUUCGUUUCUUAAAAGAGCAUAAAUAAUUAAAGUUUGGCAGGGAGGAAAAGCUUUCUUGCAGAACUGUAGUGGCAAUAAAUGAAAUGACUCAGAAUCCCUUCCCCAGUCAGCUUUUACGAGAGCUGCCAGACAGUGUCUGUUCACGUUCUCCAGAUACCAGGGGCACCCUGACAAAGUUAAGGUCAAGUUAGUGUCUUAUCUUGGGUGGCUCAAAAUCACCGCAUCGCGUCCCGGAGCUGUGCGGAAAGCUCUUUCUCGCGGAGCGGCUAGCUGCGCCCCGAAGGCCUGGUGCGCUCCCUGCGUUUCGGGUGGGGCCGCGUAGGCAAGGACAAGGCCACAGAACCGGGGUCUUCACGUUGCCCCCCAGCGGUCCCGGAAAAAGCGCUGUCCCUAUACCAAGUACCAGAUCCGCGAACUGGAACGCGAGUUUUUCUUUAACGUGUACAUAAACAAAGAGAAAAGACUUCAACUCUCUCGGAUGCUCAACCUCACUGACCGGCAAGUCAAAAUCUGGUUCCAGAAUCGCAGGAUGAAAGAAAAGAAACUGAACAGAGACCGUCUGCAGUAUUUCACUGGAAACCCCUUAUUUUGAGAGCUCCAGGAAGCGCCCCCUCCCCAGCCCCACUCACCCACCCUCCUUCCCACCAGCCUGCUCUCCGCAGGCCCAAUGUCCUUGGGUUUAAUGACGUCUCUUCUCUGUGGAACUUCACGAUUCCUUCCCACGGUCAACUCGGGACCUCCCAGCGACCACUGCAGCCUGCGGACGAGGCCGGGACUUGGCCGAGCGGAUCCUAAUAAGGGGAAAAUGGUAAAUGCAAACGUCCCUUUACAAUUUUACCGCCAAUGUGCUGUCGUUCCUCCUCCCCCUCUCCGCGUCCUCGUGGGGACACGGCGGGGUCUCUAGGAAGUUGGGCCGGGUUGGGGGUGCUAGAAGGCGCUGGUGUUUUGCUCUGAGUUUUAAGAGAUCCCUUCUUUCCUCUUCGGUGAAUGCAGGUUAUUUAAACUUUGGGAAAUGUACCUUUAGUCUGUCAUAUCAAGGCAUGAGUCACUGUCUUUUUUUGUGUGAAUAAAUGGUUUCUAGUAAAAUGGAGGUUACAGCUUCAAUACACUGCAUGAAUUCUCCUCUUUGAGGUUUAGUGCCUCAUUAGGAUAUUUUAGUGGCCAGGACCCAUGCAACUGAAAAUCGAAUGAAACACUUUUUAG